rnacentral:rRNA from 1 species
CAACUUUCAACAACGGAUCUCUUGGCUCUCGCAUCGAUGAAGAACGCAGCGAAACGCGAUAAGUAAUGUGAAUUGCAGAAUUCAGUGAAUCAUCGAAUCUUUGAACGCACCUUGCGCACCUUGGUAUUCCAAGGUGCAUGCCUGUUUGAGUGUCAUUA